ACGGAAGGCAGCAGUGGGGAAUAUUGCACAAUGGGGGAAACCCUGAUGCAGCGACGCCGCGUGAGUGAAGAAGUAUUUCGGUAUGUAAAGCUCUAUCAGCAGGAAGGAAAAUGACGGUACCUGACUAAGAAGCCCCGGCUAACUACGUGCCAGCAGCCGCGGUAAUACGUAGGGGGCAAGCGUUAUCCGGAUUUACUGGGUGUAAAGGGAGCGUAGACGGCUUUGCAAGUCUGAAGUGAAAGCCCGGGGCUCAACCCCGGAACUGCUUUGGAAACUGUAGAGCUAGAGUGCAGGAGAGGUAAGUGGAAUUCCUAGUGUAGCGGUGAAAUGCGUAGAUAUUAGGAGGAACACCAGUGGCGAAGGCGGCUUACUGGACUGUAACUGACGUUGAGGCUCGAAGGCGUGGGGAGCAAACAGGAUUAGAUACCCUGGUA
rnacentral:rRNA from 1 species